UUGCUAUCAAUUAAAUUAAUGCUCCAUAUAAAGGUGAUAAAUACGUAUUUCGAGUGAAGCAAAAGAGAUUAUACACAUGUUGGGAAGUAAUCUUAUAUUAGAUAAAAUUGUUGGAUUACAAUAGUGGAUAUUACACGAGGAAUAUAAUCCUAAUGGGAUGCAUAAUCUAACUAUACAACUUAACUAAAAUUUAACCGAGGAACAACAUCCAACAGGAACGACAUCCCUACAACAUAAG
rnacentral:lncRNA from 1 species